ACUGAUGCUUCAUCUCCCCAGUUACCUCCAUGUUCAAUUGCUUAUGGUCUGUCGCAACUUGACAGACUCAUCUUUUGCGACUCCGGCCAUACUCCCUGCAACAGAUGUUCCCGAAGGUGUAAAGGAAAAAGGGUAGUUGAACAAGUGGCUCUGAUAUUAAAGCUGAAUUGUGGUAAGCUUUCAUCGCUAAGGUUCUGAUCUUUCCCUAACUCUUACUUAAUGAAAUCAUAAAGGCCUAUGGCUCUUUUGUUCGACUAAAGGUACAAAUGUUUUGAGCUUCCGUUAUAAGAUAGGAGAUGGUUUAAAAUAAUUUUUUAAAUUGUCUAUACUAAAGAAAAAUGUAAAUAUAUGAGUCUUUAAAAAUUACUCCUCCCUGACUAGUAUCAAAAAAUGGCGAAUGGAACCCAUUUAUUAAAAAAAAUUUUGUGGUGUUUAUUCAAUUUGCUUCCAGCUUCCACUAAACUAAGAA
rnacentral:lncRNA from 1 species